AUUGCUAGUUUUUGGUGGGGAGAUGAUGAAGAGAAAAAGAAAAUGCAUUAGUUUGCCUGGCGGAGGUUGUGCAUACCAAAGAAGGAGGGGGGAUUGGGUUUUAGGGACUUGCACAGUUUUAACCUUGCUCUAUUAGCAAAACAGUGCUGGCGACUAAUCCAGAACCCGGAGUCUUUGUGUGCUCAAGUUUUGAAGGCAAAAUAUUAUCCAGAUGGGGACAUUCUGAAGGCUGGCCCCAAGAGGGGAUCUUCUUACACGUGGCAAAGUAUUGUUGCGGGUAUUCAAACGUUCAAGAGGGGUUGCAUUUGGCGAGUUGGAACUGGAUCUAACAUCAGUAUUUGGAAUGAUCCUUGGAUACCA
rnacentral:rRNA from 1 species